rnacentral:rRNA from 1 species
UAGGGAAUCUUCGGCAAUGGACGAAAGUCUGACCGAGCAACGCCGCGUGAGUGAAGAAGGUUUUCGGAUCGUAAAACUCUGUUGUUAGAGAAGAACAAGGACGUUAGUAACUGAACGUCCCCUGACGGUAUCUAACCAGAAAGCCACGGCUAACUACGUGCCAGCAGCCGCGGUAAUACGUAGGUGGCAAGCGUUGUCCGGAUUUAUUGGGCGUAAAGCGAGCGCAGGCGGUUUCUUAAGUCUGAUGUGAAAGCCCCGGCUCAACCGGGGAGGGUCAUUGGAAACUGGGAGACUUGAGUGCAGAAGAGUAGAGUGGAAUUCCAUGUGUAGCGGUGAAAUGCGUAGAUAUAUGGAGGAACACCAGUGGCGAAGGCGGCUCUCUGGUCUGUAACUGACGCUGAGGCUCGAAAGCGUGGGGAGCAAACAGG